AAAAGCAUAAAGUCUUAAAAAAGAUAUUUUCCUAUGUUAAUCUUUAAUUUUUACGUUAUUUUUCUUGUUCCAGUGUUUAUACAGUUAUAGACAUAAAUUUCAUGAGAUAACUGCAAUAUUUUAUUUAACAAUUAUGACAAAUUAUAUAUUAACAUUACAAUUGACUGGAAUAACGCUAUUGAUUACUAGUUAAAGACGCAAAUAAUGAUAAAUAUCAAUGUGUGUUCAAAGAUUAUCAGGAGAAAGAGGAUAAGAACAGAAAAAACAAGGAGAGAGGAACAAGAAAAAGAUAAAGAAAAGAUUGAACAAAAAGAAAGGCCAGAAACAAAACGAUAUGAACGGAAGCUGAUGCAUCUUUUACCUUUUAUUUUGGCUCAUCUUUAUCUCAUCCUUCUCAUCUGCAUCAACAUCAACAUCAAAAACAAAAUUAUCUUAAUUUCCAUCCUUCUCCAGCGUUUUACCUUGAAUCUUAACCCGGGCCAAUUUUGUUUCCACUUUUGGUGCCCAUUGGUUAAGCACGAAAUCGACCUUUUAUCACAUUAUAUAAAAAGUCUAAUUUUAUUUUCGUGAUCAUAUAUUUUCCUCUUGGUACCUUAUUUAAUAAUACAAUAUCAAGCCAAUCAAAUAUCCCUUGGCCUGGGCCAAAUGCUUGUUCUUUGCUUAAUUUGGCAAUUUUCCUUUACCUCAUCUUAUGGUAUCAUCAUUAUCAUCAAUGGUUUAAUACACACUAUAAUGCCAUAUAACAAGCUCAAAGGAUAAACAAAACAAUCUUUAUUAACCAUCAUUAAACAUCUAAUUAAAAGGACUGAUAAGGACUUCUCACUACCACCUCCUUCAACUUCAUCCUCCUCCUUAUUCCCUCCUUUACCUUCUCUCACCUCCUCCCAUCUUCUUUGAUAAUCAUCUUCAUUUAACAUCCAUCAUUUUUUUCCCGAUCACUUUUAUUCGCCUUUCUUUUCCAUCUUUUUACACCAGCUUUGCGCUUUCUCCAUCCCGUUUGUCCUGGCUGUUAAAUUACCUGAUCAACAUGUGAUUGAAAACGAUUGUUAAAAGCUAAUUGUAAUUUAAUCUUUCUGGUUUGUUUCUUGGGAUUUGGUUUUUACCUGUAAAUUAAAUCCAUUAUUGAACUGCAAGGCAAACAGUCAUAAAUAUAUUUAACGUUUCUAUGCAUAAUAUGAUUGUUUAUAAGGUAAAGGUAAAAGGCCAAACGUUAUGUUGACGUUUAAAUUGAAUCAAAAAAAAGCAAUUCAUUUUACCCGUGAUAAAAAGCCAAUAAAAACCAUUCCUAACCGACAA